GUCCAUUUACAUUUACCUUUAAGGUUAAUAUUGUUAUGUGUUUUGGUUUGCACUAGGAUGCAAAAGAAAAAUCCCUGCACUUUCUGUCUGUCUUUAUGGCAGCCCAGAUUGAAUUGGGGAAUACAUCU
ensembl:snoRNA